GAGGCUGCUAACUGGACCAAGUCAAAAAAGGCACAAGUCUCUGUGAUUUUCUGGUCCUUAGAUAUGGCUCAGCUCCCCCUUCAGUGGGAGCUAAGAUGGGGCCAUGUUCCCUGGCAGAGCUCCAUACAUGGCUCACCCUCCCACUGGAACGCCUGAUUCCAGUUCAGCCCUUUACAAGACAUGCCAGGACCCUUUGUGUGCCAGGCUGGGCUGGGUAUGUGGGCAGAGUGGGACUGCUUCCUCAAGAUGUCAUUAUAGCUGGGAAUUGUGCCACUCGUCAGAGGUUGCAGCUGGGUGGUAUAGCAUUUCAUAAAGAAGCAUCAGCGAUAAUCAGCAUUAAAAGCAUCAGCAGAGCGGUAUUUCAAUGGCCAUUUUGUCAGACACAAGAAUAAAAGUCUUUGUUUUCUUC